rnacentral:lncRNA from 1 species
UCAUACUCCACCCCCCUUAAAAUAAAUCUUGUCUUCGAGAUUUACUUGACACCUUAUCCACUAGAAAAGUGCAGGUUAUCUCCUUCAUGUGUCAAACUUUGGUUUACAAAUCGUUUGUUGAACUCGAUGACAUUCUUACUAUGUUGCAUGAAGUGAAACAUGUUAGUCUCGAAGUCACUUCAUCUCAUAUACAAGUCGU